GUCACGCCCGAAGUCGUUACUCUAACCCUUCUGGGAGGAGGAUGCCGAAGGCAGGGCUGAUGACUGGGGUGAAGUCGUAACAAGGUAGCCGUACCGGAAGGUGUGGCUGGAUCACCUCCUUUUUAGGGAGACCUGAGAGAUGAAUUGAGUUCAAACGCAUCAAUCAUUACUCUCACAUCCCAGGUCGGUCGGGGUCAAACCAGAAGGCUUUCAAACUCAGAGCAGGGCGGGAGAUGGGCUAUUAGCUCAGGUGGUUAG
rnacentral:misc_RNA from 1 species